CUUAAAUAUUGAGCAGCCACUCAAGUUGUAGCUGAAAGAAUAAAUAUCUGUUCAACUUUGUCUUUUAGUUCCUCCAUGUUGGAAGCAACUAGGACUGGGGAAUGUCUCGACAUAGAGUUGGCGCUCAUCGUCCUGAUGGUGAAGGAAAGAGCAAGGCAACUGAGUCAUUCUGGAAGGUCUCUUUUUUUGACAAACAAGUAUUUUGAAUCAGUAAAUUGUCACAGCUUUUAUUGGAUGGACCCAGGAAAUCAUGAAACUGGCUGGAAUUGCAGGAGAUAUUUGAGUUAGACACGUCAGAGGACUUCCUGGCCUGAAGGGCACCAGCAUGAGAGAAUAAAGUUAUUUCUGUCGCUGUCAUACUUGCUCUUUUUCUCUGCCCUUUUCCUCUCUCUUUGGAACAUUUUUUUUCUCUUUCCUCCUGCAUUUCACUCACUGAUUUCAGCCAGAAUAAAGAAAGAGCUUCAUUACUAUGAACUUGCUUGUGGCUGGAGGAAUUGAAGUGGAGAUGCUGACUCCCGUGAGCUUGGAGACUGCAGGGAUGACAACCUUAUGUUAAAUUUAUGUGUUCUUAUUUUUGUUGAGUAUGACUAUAUUUCUGUACAUUUUAUUUCACCCUUUAAACAUUUAUGUUCCUGUGUUAUGAUUAAUUAAGUGUAGUAAAAUGGAGUGUUUGCAAAGUUAAAAAAAAAACCCUUACUCCUUUGGAGUCUUUGUACUUCACGUUCUUUUUGCUCUUGCCAAUCCUUAUUUCUCUUUGCUCUUUUCUUCGAUUUGUCACCUUUCUUUAUUCCUUCCUUUUGUUCCUCUGGGCCAGUCCUUCAAUCCUCACUCCAUUAAAGGCCUUGCUUAUGCAGAAUACUUUCAAGGCAAUGGGGGUUUAUUCCAACUAGAUAAUCAACUCUCCUCUCUUCUCUUUCCUCCUCUCCCCUCUCCUCCCAUUCCCUCCUCUCCUCUCUUCUCUUUUCCUCUUCUCUCAUUUUCACUAAUUUCAUCUCCUUCUGUUUCUUCGUCUCAUCUGAUACCUCCCAUCAUAUGUUUUGUUUUUUGAGAUGGAGUCGCCCUCUGUCACCCAGGUGCAAUGGCGUGAUAUCGGCUCACACCUCUGCCUCCCAGGUUCAAGGGAUUAUCCUGCCUCAGCCUCCCAAGUAGCUGGGACUACAGGUGUGUGCCACCACACCUGGCUAAUUUUUGUAUUUUUUAAGUAGAGACGGGGUUGGCAAGCUGGUCUCAAACUUCUGACCUCAAGUGAUCCACCCGCCUCAGCCUCCCAAAGUGUUGGAAUUACAGGUGUGAGCCACUGUGCCGGCCCCAUAAUAUGUUUUAUCAAGAUAAUAGCAGUGACCACCACAGUCCAUCUGUAAUGUCACAAACCAGGGGAAACCCAGUGAUAGAGGCCAGCAGAUUUCCCCUGGCCACAGGUGCCUAUUCGGUCAGCUAGGAAGAUGAGGUAGGAGCUAAGAACAUUCUUGGAUCAUCCUCUCUGAUAUGCAGGCCGACAGUCUUAAUGAAGUAACAGGAAGUAUGAGAAAAAUUUACCCCCACACUUUAUUGCUUAAACCUUCCUAUACUUAAUUCUGAAUCAGUCAGAAGAAAGGCUUUGUAGAACGUGAUUUUAAAGAUGCCUCAAUACAUGGUUUAGAAAAUUUACUAAGUGCUUCUGAAAAGGACUUAAAGCUACUACUGAACAAACAUUCAUUUAUCUAAGUUAGGAUUUCUCAAACUUCAAAGAACAUAAGGCACACUUGGUGGGCUUACUAGACUGCAUUUUCCCAGGCCUCACCUCUAAAGGGCCUGGCUCAGGAUAUCUGAGAAAGGAGCCAGGGAGCUGCAUAUUAAACAAUGUCCCCAGGUGAUUCUGAAGCAAAGGUUCACGGACUGCACUCUGAGAAGCCAAGCUGAAAUGAAUAAAAGCUGUCAUUAUUCUUGAGAUGAAGGUGAGGAAAAAAAUCGUGACUACUCCCUGAUAUUUCACAAGUAUUGAGUGCUCGCUGUAUGUAAAGUUCCACGCUAGGCACUGAGUGGGAGGCGAGGAAAUAGAAGCCGAGGUCCGUAUGAGCAGUUCUCCAUCUGUCUUUAAUUACUCCUCCAAGUUUUGAAACGGGGCUAAUUUAUCCAUGUCACAAUGUGCUUGGGUACCCACUUCUGCAUUCACUUCCCUAGGCCUCCUGCCUUCGGUGUUUGACUACUGUAUAAACACAGAAACUAAUCAGGAAAAUAAGGUAAUACUUAUAUUAUUA
rnacentral:lncRNA from 1 species